rnacentral:lncRNA from 1 species
CACAGGGAAAUAGGGAGCAACAGUGAGAGGCCCAUUAUUGUAUUUGUGUCCCCUUUCUUCCUCACAGACUUCCUUGUACCCCUUACCUAUACCCACCCAUUCCUGUACUCAGCAUAGAAGGCACACAGAUGAGAGGGAGCACAUGUCAAUUCAAGAUUUUUUUUAUCCAGGAGAGUUGAGGGUGUGCAGUAGACUUGAAUGCCUGCUCCACCCAGUGCCUGUGGGUAAGGUCUUCUGCAGGGCCCAGUGCACUAACAUGGAGCUGAGCAGAGAGGCCUAGGUGGGGUUAGGCAGGAGGGCAGGGAUGGGAUAGUCAGGGGAACUGCAGGGCAGGGCCUCUGGGCAGAAG